AGGACGAACGCUGGCGGCGUGCUUAACACAUGCAAGUCGAGCGGAAAGGCCCUUCGGGGUACUCGAGCGGCGAACGGGUGAGUAACACGUGAGUAACCUGCCCCUAGUUCUGGGAUAGCUCCGGGAAACCGGGAUUAAUACCAGAUACGACCACUUUAGACAUCUGUCGUGGUGGAAAGGAUUCCGGCUAGGGAUGGGCUCGCGGCCUAUCAGCUUGUUGGUGGGUAACGCCUACCAAGGCGACGACGGGUAG
rnacentral:rRNA from 1 species